rnacentral:rRNA from 1 species
AUUGAACGCUGGCGGCAGGCCUAACACAUGCAAGUCGAGCGAGAAAGGUCUUCGGACUGAGUACAGCGGCGGACGGGUGAGUAAAGCGUAGGAAUCUACCUGGUAGUGGGGGAUAACUUGGGGAAACUCAAACUAAUACCGCAUACGCCCUACGGGGGAAAGCGGGGGACCGUUCGGGCCUCGCGCUAUCAGAUGAGCCUGCGUAGGAUUAGCUAGUUGGUGAGGUAAAGGCUCACCAAGGCGACGAUCCUUAGCUGGUCUGAGAGGAUGAUCAGCCACACUGGGACUGAGACACGGCCCAGACUCCUACGGGAGGCAGCAGUGGGGAAUAUUGGACAAUGGGCGAGAGCCUGAUCCAGCCAUGCCGCGUGCAGGAAGACGGCCCUAUGGGUUGUAAACUGCUUUUGUACGGGAAGAAACACCCCCUCGUGAGGGGGCUUGACGGUACCGUAAGAAUAAGGAUCGGCUAACUCCGUG